GCUAACGUAGCUUAAUUAAAGCAUAACACUGAAGAUGUUAAGACGGCCCUUAAAUUGGGCCCGGAAGCA
rnacentral:tRNA from 1 species